ACGCUCGACACCUACGGGAGCAGCAGUGGGGAAUAUUGCACAAUGGGGGAAACCCUGAUGCAGCGACGCCGCGUGGAGGAAGAAGGUCUUCGGAUUGUAAACUCCUGUUGUUGGGGAAAAAGAGGAUGGUACCCAACAAGGAAGUGACGGCUAACUACGUGCCAAGUAGCCGCGGUAAUCUGAGCGGGCUGGCAAGGC
rnacentral:rRNA from 1 species